rnacentral:rRNA from 1 species
GAAUAUUGGGCAAUGGACGGAAGUCUGACCCAGCCAUGCCGCGUGCAGGAUGAAGGCCUUCUGGGUUGUAAACUGCUUUUAUCUGGGAAGAAAACACCUAUGCGUAGGAAACUGACGGUACCAGAUGAAUAAGCACCGGCUAACUCCGUGCCAGCAGCCGCGGUAAUACGGAGGGUGCAAGCGUUGUCCGGAUUUAUUGGGUUUAAAGGGUGCGUAGGCGGCCCGUUAAGUCCGUGGUGAAAGCCUCCAGCUCAACUGGAGAACUGCCAUGGAUACUGGCGGGCUUGAGUACAGAUGAGGUUGGCGGAAUUGAUUGUGUAGCGGUGAAAUGCAUAGAUACAAUCAAGAACUCCGAUUGCGUAGGCAGCUAACUAGGCUGUAACUGACGCUGAGGCACGAAAGCGUGGGGAGCGAACAG